GGGCCUAUAGCUCAGCGGUAGAGCCCCCGGCUCAUAACCGGUUGGUCCAAGGUUCGAAUCCUUGUGGGCCCA
rnacentral:tRNA from 2 species